rnacentral:lncRNA from 1 species
GCACGGCUCCACGGCCACGCCAGCGAGCUGCCGUCCCUCCCGCUCCGGCUCUCCGCAUCACGCAGCUGCCUCCUCGGGGCGGCGAAUCGGCCGCCAUCCGCCCUCCGGCUGCGACCCAAAUCGUGCCGCCCUGCUCGAGUUAUGGCGGCAGCGGCAUCGGCGACCGCGGAGGAGGGGCUUAAAAAGGGAAUCGCCGAGUUCUACGACCAGUCAUCGGGGCUGUGGGAGGACAUUUGGGGCGACCACAUGCACCACGGCUUCUAUGACCCGGGAGUUACCGCGUCCGUCGACGAUCACCGCGCCGCCCAGAUCCGCAUGGUCGAGGAGGCCCUACGAUUCUCCGGAGUC